AGGAGGAACAGCCCCAGUGGCGGGGCAGCUCUGGAAACCUGGAUUCAGCUCCAGAGCUCUCUGUCUGCAGGGCCUGGAGGCUCCGGGCGGGG
rnacentral:pre_miRNA from 1 species